GGGAUAUGAUGAGUGGUCAAAACUCACAAAUUUUUGUGAGAGGGGUGUCCGCCCAAGCCUGGUUACGACACAGGGGCACUCCAAUAUUUUACCAUCUGAUCCC